AAAUUUCCUGGACCAAAGUUAGAGGGAAUGAAGUGAAGGUAUACCGCAAAGGCUGUUAACCCAUUCACAAAACAUUGGUUUGGCGUACAAAAAAGAACUUUUUUUUUUUUGUUUUGUUUCCCUUAAAGAAUGUGUACAGAACCCCUUUCCUUCAAUGAUGUAUAUAGAAAGUGUUGUGUUUAA